rnacentral:rRNA from 1 species
CAGGACGAACGCUGGCGGCGUGCCUAAUACAUGCAAGUCGAGCGGACCGACGGGAGCUUGCUCCCUUGGGUCAGCGGCGGACGGGUGAGUAACACGUGGGUAACCUGCCUGUAAGACUGGGAUAACUCCGGGAAACCGGGGCUAAUACCGGAUGCUUGAUUGAACCGCAUGGUCAAUCAUAAAAGGUGGCUUUUAGCUACCACUUGCAGAUGGACCCGCGGCGCAUUAGCUAGUUGGUGAGGUAACGGCUCACCAAGGCGACGAUGCGUAGCCGACCUGAGAGGGUGAUCGGCCACACUGGGACUGAGACACGGCCCAGACUCCUACGGGAGGCAGCAGUAGGGAAUCUUCCGCAAUGGACGAAAGUCUGACGGAGCAACGCCGCCGUGAGUGAUGAAGGUUUUCGGAUCGUAAAACUCUGUUGUUAGGGAAGAACAAGUACCGUUCGAAUAGGGCGGCACCUUGACGGUACCUAACCAGAAAGCCACGGCUAACUACGUGCCAGCCGCGGC